rnacentral:rRNA from 1 species
CCUACGGGGCGCAGCAGUGGGGAAUAUUGGACAAUGGGCGAAAGCCUGAUCCAGCCAUGCCGCGUGUGUGAAGAAGGCCUUCGGGUUGUAAAGCACUUUCAGUGGGGAAGAAAGCCUUGGGGCUAAUACCCUCGAGGAAGGACAUCACCCACAGAAGAAGCACCGGCUAACUCCGUGCCAGCAGCCGCGGUAAUACGGAGGGUGCGAGCGUUAAUCGGAAUUACUGGGCGUAAAGCGCGCGUAGGCGGUCUGAUAAGCCGGUUGUGAAAGCCCCGGGCUCAACCUGGGAACGGCAUCCGGAACUGUCAGGCUAGAGUGCAGGAGAGGAAGGUAGAAUUCCCGGUGUAGCGGUGAAAUGCGUAGAGAUCGGGAGGAAUACCAGUGGCGUAGGCGGCCUUCUGGACUGACACUGACGCUGAGGUGCGAAAGCGUGGGUAGCAAACAGGAUUAGAUACCCGAGUAGUC